rnacentral:rRNA from 1 species
UACAGAGGGUGCGAGCGUUGUCCGGAAUCACUGGGCGUAAAGGGCGCGUAGGUGGCCACCAUAAGGCCGCGGUGAAAGUCUGGGGCUCAACCCCGGAUCGGCCGCGGCGACUGUGGGGCUAGGGUACCGUAGAGGCAGAUGGAAUUCCGGGUGUAGCGGUGGAAUGCGUAGAGAUCCGGAAGAACACCGGUGGCGAAGGCGGCCUGCUGGGCAGUUGCUGACACUGAGGCGCGACAGCGUGGGGAGCAAACAGG